AACGUCUUCUUCUUCAAAGCAACGAUUUAAGUGUUGCUUUUCUCCAGCAGAGAACGCCUAAGACCUAAGGGACAAAGGACUUAACGAAAACCUGGGAAAGUAGCCUAAAUCUAACAUCCUAAGGCAACGUCGUUUUGGACCUGGACUUCAUCGUCUCCAUCGAGAAUUAAUAGUGGCUAAACAAAAUUCAAUCAGCGAUCCAUCUUCUCCAGCGACCCUAGAACUCAGCUAGUUUUCGCCCUCACAAAACCAACGACCCCUCAUCUCACCUUCUUCACCGUUGAACACCACAAAAUCGACACCUUAUGACGACCCCAAAAUAGCCAUACACACACACGCAUAGAAACGAAAAGGGAUAGUAGCUGCAAGUUAGGUUCGACCGAGGUUCUUGUCGCCUGGUUUGUUUCAUUAUUGUUUCGUUCAAAUUCCGGAAGAAUCCGGUUGGUUUUCUGUUGGAGUUCUUAUUUUUUCGGUGAGUUCGUCGAUUUGUCAAGGUUAACGUUCCUAACUCUGCCGCUGGUUCUGUUUGUUGUCGGCGGUCUGGGAUACACCUUUGGUCAGCUUUUUUGUCUUUGUUGUCAUGUUCAGAAGUACUAUUCUUCAUGUUAAUGACCAUUUGAUCAAUUUUCUUAUUUGGAUUAGUUAGUUUAUUUGCUUUAUAUAUUGUUGCCUCUGUUGUUUGGAUUAGAAUUUUGUUUGUGAUCCAUCUAUUGCUAGCUUAAGGAGGAUUCUUGUGAUUCUGGAUUGAUGUUGGAUAUUUU
rnacentral:lncRNA from 1 species